CCUACGGGGGGCAGCAGUGAGGAAUAUUGGUCAAUGGGCGCGAGCCUGAACCAGCCAAGUAGCGUGAAGGAUGACUGCCCUACGGGUUGUAAACUUCUUUUAUAAAGGAAUAAAGUGAGGCACGUGUGCCUUUUUGUAUGUACUUUAUGAAUAAGGAUCGGCUAACUCCGUGCCAGCAGCCGCGGUAAUACGGAGGAUCCGAGCGUUAUCCGGAUUUAUUGGGUUUAAAGGGAGCGUAGAUGGGUUGUUAAGUCAGUUGUGAAAGUUUGCGGCUCAACCGUAAAAUUGCAAUUGAUACUGGCUGUCUUGAGUACAGUUGAGGUAGGCGGAAUGCGUGGUGUAGCGGUGAAAUGCAUAGAUAUCACGAAGAACUCCGAUUGCGAAGGCAGCUUACUAAACUGCCACUGACAUUGAUGCUCGAAAGUGUGGGUAUCAAACAGGAUUAGAUACCCCGGUAGUC
rnacentral:rRNA from 1 species